UGACCUCGGAUCAGGUAGGGAUACCCGCUGAACUUAAGCAUAUCAAUAAGCGGAGGAAAAGAAACCAACCGGGAUUGCCUCAGUAACGGCGAGUGAAGCGGCAAGAGCUCAAAUUUGAAAGCUGGCUCCUUCGGAGUCCGCAUUGUAAUUUGCAGAGGAUGCUUUGGGUGCGGCCCCCGUCUAAGUGCCCUGGAACGGGCCGUCAGAGAGGGUGAGAAUCCCGUCUUGGGCGGGGUGUCCGUGCCCGUGUAAAGCUCCUUCGACGAGUCGAGUUGUUUGGGAAUGCAGCUCUAAAUGGGUGGUAAAUUUCAUCUAAAGCUAAAUACUGGCCGGAGACCGAUAGCGCACAAGUAGAGUGAUCGAAAGAUGAAAAGCACUUUGAAAAGAGAGUUAAACAGCACGUGAAAUUGUUGAAAGGGAAGCGCUUGCGACCAGACUCGCCCGCGGGGUUCAGCCGGCAUUCGUGCCGGUGUACUUCCCCGUGGGCGGGCCAGCGUCGGUUUGGGCGGCCGGUCAAAGGCCCCUGGAAUGUAGUGCCCUCCGGGGCACCUUAUAGCCAGGGGUGCAAUGCGGCCAGCCUGGACCGAGGAACGCGCUUCGGCACGGACGCUGGCAUAAUGGUCGUAAACGAC
rnacentral:rRNA from 1 species